GCUCCUUCCCUGUUUUAUGCUUGUCAUAGCUACAAAGACCUGGUUAGUUUUUCAGACUUGCAACACACAAAAAUGUUUCACGAAUCAAGACUCAUUGAUCCUGAAGACCUGCGGAGAGAAUUGACCCACUAUGAUCCUGAAGAACUAAGAGCAACUGUAGGCUCUGAGACUGAAAACCAAGAAUCAAGGCGACAUGAACAUGAAAGUAACCCUGAAAUAAUUUAUAGCACGCAGGU